rnacentral:lncRNA from 1 species
CAGUUCUGGCCUUUGGGGUUCAAGAUCACUGGGACCAGGCCGUGAUCUCUAUGCCCGAGUCUCAACCCUCAACUGUCACCCCAAGGCACUUGGGACGUCCUGGACAGACCGAGUCCCGGGAAGCCCCAGCACUGCCGCUGCCACACUGCCCUGAGCCCAAAUGGGGGAGUGAGAGGCCAUAGCUGUCUGGCAUGGGCCUCUCCACCGUGCCUGACCUGCUGCUGCCACUGGUGCUCCUGGAGCUGUUGGUGGGAAUAUACCCCUCAGGGGUUAUUGGACUGGUCCCUCACCUAGGGGACAGGGAGAAGAGAGAUAGUGUGUGUCCCCAAGGAAAAUAUAUCCACCCUCAAAAUAAUUCGAUUUGCUGUACCAAGUGCCACAAAGGAACCUACUUGUACAAUGACUGUCCAGGCCCGGGGCAGGAUACGGACUGCAGGGAGUGUGAGAGCGGCU